CAAGACAUCCACCAGUGGCUAUUUAAACCUGUCCCAUUUAUUUGAUUUUGUGCCUCUAUCCACUUGCUUCUAUCCAUGCCUGUUCAGAGCCAAUUUCUUGAAUUAUGAUAUUAAGACUCUCACAGUUCAGUUACAUGCAGAGGUGCUAAUGAUAGGUGAGGUGACCAAAAAGAAGCAGCAUGAAGGAAGAAGAAAAGAAGCAAAAAUCAGGGACAAUCCUCAGAUUGGAAAAUAAGAAGACUCUGCACC